UACAGAGGUCUCAAGCGUUGUUCGGAUUCAUUGGGCGUAAAGGGUGCGUAGGUGGCGCUGUAAGUCGGGUGUGAAAUUUCGGAGCUUAACUCCGAGACUGCAUUCGAUACUGCGGUGCUUGAGGACUGGAGAGGAGACUGGAAUUCAUGGUGUAGCAGUGAAAUGCGUAGAGAUCAUGAGGAAGACCAGUGGCGAAGGCGGGUCUCUGGACAGUUCCUGACACUGAGGCACGAAGGCCAGGGGAGCAAACGGG
rnacentral:rRNA from 1 species